rnacentral:ncRNA from 1 species
CCUGCCUGUGCAGGCCGGGAUGUGACCCGCGAGGGUUGAACCACGAA